rnacentral:rRNA from 1 species
GACGAACGCUGGCGGCGUGCCUAAUACAUGCAAGUAGAACGCUGAAGAGAGUAGCUUACUCUUCUUGGAUGAGUUGCGAACGGGUGAGUAACGCGUAGGUAACCUGCCUUGUAGCGGGGGAUAACUAUUGGAAACGAUAGCUAAUACCGCAUAACAAUGGAUGACACAUGUCAUUUAUUUGAAAUGGGCAAUUGCUCCACUACAAGAUGGACCUGCGUUGUAUUAGCUAGUAGGUGAGGUAAUGGCUCACCUAGGCGACGAUACAUAGCCGACCUGAGAGGGUGAUCGGCCACACUGAGACUGAGACACGGCACAGAGUCCUACGGGAGGCAGCAGUAGGGAAACGGCGGCAAUGGGGGCAACACAGACCGCGCAACGCCGCGGGAGUGAAGAAGGUUUUCGGAUCGUAAAGCUCGGUUGUAAGUCAAGAACGGGUGUGAGAGUGGAAAGUUCACAAUGUGACGGUAGCUUACCAGAAAGGGCCGGCUAACUACGUG